GACGUAGGGUGCGAGCGUUGUCCGGAUUUAUUGGGCGUAAAGAGCUCGUAGGCGGCUCGUCGCGUCGACCGUGAAAACCCGCGGCUUAACUGCGGGCUUGCGGUUGAUACGGGCGGGCUAGAGUUCGGUAGGGGAGACUGGAAUUCCUGGUGUAGCGGUGAAAUGCGCAGAUAUCAGGAGGAACACCGGUGGCGAAGGCGGGCCUCUGGGCCGAUACUGACGCUGAGGAGCGAAAGCGUGGGGAGCGAACAGG
rnacentral:rRNA from 1 species